rnacentral:lncRNA from 1 species
UUGUAGCAUGUAAUUAUUAAAUAUAUUAAAACCAAUUGGCUUAGCAAUAGUAUUAGUCUUUGGGUUUCAUACUUUGGCCACAAGACUUUCAUAUAUUGGCAGAUUUGGUCCCUAUACUUUUGGGGUUUCAAACUUUGGCCUUAAGACUUUCGUAUAUUGGCAGGUUUGGUCCCUAUACUUUUGGGGUUUCAGACUUUGGCCAUAAGACUUUUGUAUAUUGGCAGGUUUGAUCCCUAGACUUUUGUAUAUUGGCAGGUUUGAUCCCUAGACUUUUGUAUAUUGGCAGGUUUGGUCCCUAGAGUCUUUGGGUUUCAAACUUUGCCCACAAGACUUUCUUAUAUUGGCAGAUUUGGUCCCUAUACUUUUUGGGUUUCAAACUUUGGCCAUAAGACUUUCGUAUAUUGGUAGGUUUGGUCCCUAGACUUUUGUAUAUUGGCAGGUUUAGUACCUAUAGUUUUUGGGUUUCAAACUUCAGCCACAAGACUUUUGUAUAUUGGCAGAUUUGGUCCCUAGAUUUUCGUACAUUGGCAGGUUUGGUCCCCCACCACAGCAGGGGUAAUGUAAGUUAAAUAAAAAGUUAAUAAUAUUUUGGUGGAGGUUUAUUUUAAUUCAUUGUCAUAAGAAUUACUAAAUGAGUAUAUAAAAUAAAAAUCGAUGAAAAUUUUAUUUUUUGACAAAAAAAAAAUCAAG